rnacentral:rRNA from 1 species
UACGUAGGGUCCGAGCGUUGUCCGGAGUUACUGGGCGUAAAGGGCGCGUAGGCGGUGUAUUAAGUUAGAUGUGAAAUCCCUGGGCUUAACCUAGGAACUGCAUCUAAUACUGGUACGCUAGAGUGCAGUAGAGGGUAGUGGAAUUUCCGGUGUAGCGGUGAAAUGCGUAGAUAUCGGAAGGAACACCAGUGGCGAAGGCGGCUACCUGGACUGACACUGACGCUGAGGCGCGAGAGCGUGGGGAGCAAACAGG